rnacentral:rRNA from 1 species
CCUACGGGUGGCAGCAGUGAGGAAUAUUGGUCAAUGGACGCAAGUCUGAACCAGCCAAGCAGCGUGCAGGAAGACGGCUCUAUGAGUUGUAAACUGCUUUUGUACGAGGAUAAACGCAGAUACGCGUAUCUGUCUGAAAGUAUCGUACGAAUAAGGAUCGGCUAACUCCGUGCCAGCAGCCGCGGUAAUACGGAGGAUUCAAGCGUUAUCCGGAUUUAUUGGGUUUAAAGGGUGCGUAGGCGGUCGGAUAAGUUAGAGGUGAAAUCCCGAGGCUCAACCUCGGAAUUGCCUCUGAUACUGUUCGGCUAGAGAGCAGUUGCGGUAGGCGGAAUGUAUGGUGUAGCGGUGAAAGGCUUAGAUAUCAUACAGAACACCGAUUGCGAAGGCAGCUGACCAAGCUACUUCUGACGUUGAGGCACGAAAGCGUGGGGAGCAAACAGGAUUAGAUACCCGAGUAGUC